GGGGACUCCGAGUGCGAGGGCAUACAGUCCUCGCUUUUCUGGACCGUAAGGUGGUACAGGAACAAGUGCUGGGCAAGACCGGUGCCAGCCGCCGCGGUAAUACCGGCAGCACGAGUGAUGGCCGAUGUUAUUGGGCCUAAAGCGUCCGUAGCCGGCCGGACAAGUCCGUUGGGAAAUCCACGUGCCCAACACGUGGGCGUCCAGCGGAAACUGUCCGGCUUGGGGCCAGAGGACUCGAGGGGUACGUCCGGGGUAGGAGUGAAAUCCCGUAAUCCUGGACGGACCACCGGUGGCGAAAGCGCCUCGAGAGGAUGGACCCGACGGUCAGGGACGAAAGCUAGGGUCUCGAACCGGAUUAGAUACCCGGGUAGUCCUAGCUGUAAACGAUGCUCGCUAGGUGUGGCGCAGGCUACGAGCCUGCGCUGUGCCGUAGGGAAGCCGAGAAGCGAGCCGCCUGGGAAGUACGUCCGCAAGGAUGAAACUUAAAGGAAUUGGCGGGGGAGCACUACAACCGGAGGAGCCUGCGGUUUAAUUGGACUCAACGCCGGACAUCUCACCAGCACCGACAAUGUGCAGUGAAGGUCAGGUUGAUGACCUUACUGGAGCCAUUGAGA
rnacentral:rRNA from 1 species